rnacentral:rRNA from 1 species
UACGUAGGGUGCAAGCGUUAAUCGGAAUUACUGGGCGUAAAGCGUGCGCAGGCGGUUUUGUAAGUCUGUCGUGAAAGCCCCGGGCUCAACCUGGGAAUUGCGAUGGAGACUGCAAGGCUUGAAUCUGGCAGAGGGGGGUAGAAUUCCACGUGUAGCGGUGAAAUGCGUAGAUAUCUGGAGGAAUACCGGUGGCGAAGGCGGCAUCCUGGACCGGCAUUGACGCUGAUGAGCGAAAGCUAGGGGAGCAAACGGG